CGCGUAGGCGGUGGGUUACGUCUGCCGUGAAAUCCCCGGGCUCAACCUGGGAAUGGCGGUGGAAACGGGCUGACUAGAGUAUGGGAGAGGGUGAUGGAAUUCCAGGUGUAGCGGUGAAAUGCGUAGAGAUCUGGAGGAACAUCAGUGGCGAAGGCCGGUCACCUGGCCCAAUACUGACGCUGAGGCGCGAAAGCGUGGGGAGCAAACAG
rnacentral:rRNA from 1 species